GCGCUUGUGGCUCAGGGGUAGAGCAUCGUACUCGUAAUACGGGGGUCUGCUGUUCGAAUCAGCACUGGCGCA